GCCGAUGUAGCUCAGUGGUAGAGCAACUCCAUGGUAAGGAGUAGGCCGCCAGUUCAAUCCUGGCCAUCGGCU
rnacentral:tRNA from 1 species